GAUCGUCCCCUAAAUAUUCAAAAGUAAAUGAAAUAUAAUUGGUUUAUUGAUCAAUUUGUUUUAAACAGAUAUUAUUUAAUGAUAAGAUUACUAGUAAGUUUUUUGCUGAUGGAGAAAAAGCACAAAUGUAAGAGUUCAGUGCUAGUUUAACUCCGUGUUAUGUUUCUGUUCCAUCUCAGUAUUCUGGUGAGUGGUUGGUCAUUUCUCUUUAUGUUAUUGUCUACUGUUAAAUUGUCAUUUAAGAAACUGGAAUUCUGGGUAAAAAACAUUGUUAUUGGUUACCGUUGUCCCAAAUAAUGGAAAUUCGCCCAAUGAAGAGACGGUAUUUUCAUUUUGGAGUAAGAAACAAUGGAAUUAUCAUUAAGCCAUAGAUUAGAUCACUAUGGAACGGGGGAUUUGGUGUUGAUGUUAGAUGUUAGAUGAUUUAAAAAAGAGGGAAAUAUAUGAAUGCGCCAAUCAAACAUAUAAAUUGAUGAAAACAGACAACACCAUGGCAGACCAAAAUAAAAACUAUGAAAUGACAUACAAAUUUCCACAAAAUACUACGCAGAAAACUAUAACCUGGAAUCCAGAUGAAAUAUUUUCGAUUUCGCAAGCUCCACUUUAAGUAUAACCGCUUACGGUAUUGAUAAUAUUGUUACUAAGAAAACUAAAGAUUGAGCAACAAGAACCCCAUGUAAAACCAGGGGUGAGCUACCGUGACCCGGAUGGGAAAAGUAGUAACUUUUCCACUAGCUUCAUCCGUCGUGUAACCUUUUUUCUGUGAAAUUUAUACUUUGUAUGGACCCAAGGCAAUUUAUAGCUUGUUUUAAGGUAUUGACCACUGUUUCUUAUUAAGUGGUCUCUGGAGGUCUAUUUUGAUUACCCUAUGGUGUUAGGUUGCUGUUUAAUUUAUACUUACUCAAAGUUCAAUGUGAUAUUAUAUUAUGUUACCGUACGAAAUAUAUAAUAAAUGGAGAUUUUUGUUACAAAAUACAAACUUUUUAAUCUGACAGAUAUAUAUUUAGCAUGUUUCAUAAUACACGAAGCUUGUUAUCAAUAUCAACCCACAGAAGAAACAAAUUAUUUCUAUUAUAACAAGAGUUGCAUUAUAUAUAAUUAUAGUGUUAAUUUAUCCUUGUAUGCACAUGAUAGAUGACUAAACAUUAACCUUUUGACAACAUUAUAAGUAACAGAUUUACAGAACAUAUAAAUGUUAAUUACUGUAUUUAAUGGUAGAACAUGACAUUUUAAGUCAACAAUAAUAAUAAUAUGUUGUAUGACUAUUUUGGAAUGUCUUCCUGUAAUAUUUUACACCGUACGCGGUCUCAACCAUUUUGAAAAGGAGGUGGGGGUUCCAAAACCUGGAACACCAUGAAACGUUCACAUAGUUAAAAAAAAAAACAACAACAAGAAUGUGUCCAUAGUACACGGAUGCCCCACUCGCACUAUCAUUUUCUAUGUUCAGCGGUCCGUGAUAUUGGGGUCAAAACUCUAAUUUGGCAUUAAAAUUAGAAAGAUCAUAUCAUAGGAAACGUGUACUAAAUUUCAAGUUGAUUGGACUUCAACUUCAUCAAAAACUACCUUGACCAAAAACUUAAACCUGAAGCGGGACAGACGGACGGACGAACGGACGCACAGACCGAAAAAUAUAAUGCCCCUAGGUGGAGCAUAAAAACGAAAAAGGGGGGGGGGGGCGGUUCCAACCCCCGACACCACCCUGAAUCCGGCCAUUUACACUGUGUUCAUGUAAAAAAAUACGGAGAAAUCUCGUUCUAUUGAAAGAAAAAAAAACUGUCUCCUUGGGUGUUUAUAACUUUAAUACUUGUAAGACAAAUUAUUUUACUUCGUCUCUGUCUUUAAUGAUAGGAAGUUGACGGAAAAACUUCGUCUCUGUUAUUAAUGAUAAGGCGUUGACGGAAAAGGCGCAGGUAACUUAAUAUUAAAAAAAAAACCCGUGAGAUAAGUAAUCAAAAGAUUUGUGAAUGGUAUUUGUCUGACAUAAAUCUAUCCCACAUUGUUAAAUCGUAUUUCAAAACGUUUAUAUAAUUCUUGUCUACUCUAUAGCAAGUGCCUUGCCAUCUUUAAGAAGUCGAACAUGUUUUACUUGGCAAAUAAAGUGUCAAAAUCAUUGUCAGGUUUCAUUGAUUGGAUGCUGUAUGCAUAACGUCCAGUGGUAGUAUUUCAUUCAUAUUCAUUACGAGAAAUAAUUGAUUUAUUGUUGGUAGCUUAACGUCCAGUGGCAAAAAGUUCGUUCAUGUUCAGGACGAUAGACGAGGAAUAGCAACUAUUAUAUAAGUAGUUUUGCAAAGUGUGUCUUCCAGAAAGAAGGGCAGACUAUUUAGAUGACAAGAAUAGUAUGUUUGAUAGAUACAGAAAAUUUGCCUUGCAACAGGCCUCCUACGGAGCCCUAAAAACUGUUGCGAGGGUUCUUUAAUGUGCAGAGCGUUGCAUCUACCCUACACGAGGCAUGGGAUUUAACGUCCCCAUUCCGACUGGACGUGGUUACAUAUUCAUACAUUCAAAACAACCAAACGGAAUCCCCAUUAGCAUUAUAGCAUGAGUCUACUGACAGAUUGGAGUGUCUAGGCAUUUCAGUCAUAAAACAUUACUCAGAACUCGGUGUACAAAUAAACUCAUUAUAGAUACAAGGAUUGAAAUUUUGUACGCCAGACGCACGUUUCGUCUACAAAAGGCUCAUCAGUGACGCUCGAAUCAAAAAAGUUUAAUAGGCCAAAAAAAAAACGAAGUUGAAGAGCAUUGAUUACCAAAAACUCCGAAAGGUUUUGCCAAAUACAGCUAAGGUAAUAUAUUCCUAGAGUAGAAAAAAUCUUAGUAUUUCGAAAAAUUCAAAGUUUUGUAAACAAAAUUUGCGCUUGAAAAACCAUAUCCAGUAUUUUUGAUUGAUUGAUUUAUGAGUCUGAGCCUGAGUACGACAAUGACCAUAUUUCCAUAUCCCAGUCAACCGUUUGGGUAUUAUCAUGUUUAAAAUGACAUUGAUAACGGUUAUUUUCUAUAGAAAUUAUCAUCGCUAUCACGUUUGACAUGACAUAGAUAACGGUUAUUUUCUAUAGAAAUAAUCAUCGCUAUCACGUUUGACAUGACAUUGAUAACGGUUAUUUUCUAUAGAAAUUAUCAUCGCUAUCACGUUUGACAUGACAUAGAUAACGGUUAUUUUCUAUAGAAAUUAUCAUCGCUAUCACGUUUGACAUGACAUAGAUAACGGUUAUUUUCUACAGAAAUUAUCAUCGCUAUCACGUUUGACAUGACAUAGAUAACGGUUAUUUUCUAUAGAAAUUAUCAUCGCUAUCACGUUUGACAUGACAUAGAUAACGGUUAUUUUCUAUAGAAAUUAUCAUCGCUAUCACGUUUGACACGACAUAGAUAACGGUUAUUUUCUAUAGAAAUUAUCAUCGCUAUCAGGUUUGACAUGAAGAUGGAAAAUUUUUACAGAAGUUACCACAAGUUAGUACAGAAAAAAAUAAUUUAACAUCAUGUUUUCAAUCAUAAAAGGCGCUUAUAAACAAUAUGAUUAAUCGAUUAUACCAAUGUUAUGAAUAUAGAUUACACAUGUAUUUCUUUUUUUUUUUGUUAUCUGGCUAAAAACGUCGUACCAGUAAUUUGUUAACAAUUAAAUCAACACUAGACGCUUUAAAGUUUAGAACAACAACAUGCAUAAAAAUUUACAAAUUUCUUCAUCACUGAAAUAUGUGGUUUUUU